UUUGGGGGUGGGGGGGGUCAAGUGGAAAAACGAUUAUAUGAUUUCAAACAUUUAAAAAAAGAAUCACAUAGUUUCCCAUUUGCACAUCUCUUUUGGCAUUUGUUAAUAUCAAGAGUCUAGGUCUUGGGAGAGGCCAGUGUAUUUUAGACUUUUAAAAGUUCACUUAGAUUUGAACUAAAAGUGGGAGACUGCUAAUUGCUAAAUUUAGCUUCUAUGCAAAAAUCACUACAUUCAAAAUUUAGCUCAACCUUUGAGGAAUAAGUAUUUGCCAGAAGUCAAAUUAAAAGGCUAUUUUAGGAAAAGAACUUAAAUGGAACAAGUUUGAGAAACAUUUACUAUAUAAUAAAAUGCCUUUUGAAAUACCUUUAAAUGACACGGCUUAUUCUUGUUUAUUACAUUUUUCAUAAAUAUAUCUAGAUUAAAUUUCUCCAUAAAUACAUCCACUGAUAAAUUAAGAGAGAAAUGUUAUGAAAAGUGGUGUGUUUAGGUGAAACAAUGGACUACAGUCGUCAUGUUCCCACAGGAUUCCAGCUUCACUAUUUAUUAUCGUGUUAAAAACAAUCUUUAAAGGGCGUGGGAAAAGGUGCUUCAAAAAAGUAGUUUUUCUGGCAAAAUUUGAAAUUAAGACUCUAAAGUCACUAAAGUUUGGUUAAAUGUGGAUCUUGAAAAACACACAGGAUCAGGCAAUAAAUUAGCAGUCCUAGGGAAUGAUAAUCAAUGGCUGGAUAAGCACCAGCAAAUCAAAUGACGGGAUAAACUGGGGAAGCCUCUGGAAGUCACUGUUCCAUCUUGA
rnacentral:lncRNA from 1 species